CGCGGCCUAUCAGCUUGUUGGUGAGGUAAGGGCUCACCAGGGCGAUGACGGGUAGCUGGUGUGAGAGCGCGAUCAGCCACACUGGGACUGAGACACGGCCCAGACUCCUACGGGAGGCAGCAGUGGGGAAUCUUGCACAAUGGGCGAAAGCCUGAUGCAGCGACGCCGCGUGGGGGAUGACGGCCUUCGGGUUGUAAACCUCUUUCACCAUCGACGAAGGUUCGGGUUUUCUCGUAUUGACGGUAGGUGGAGAAGAAGCACCGGCCAACUACGUGCCAGCAGCCGCGGUAAUACGUAGGGUGCGAGCGUUGUCCGGAAUUACUGGGCGUAAAGAGCUCGUAGGUGGUUUGUCGCGUUGUUCGUGAAAUCUCACGGCUUAACUGUGAGCGUGCGGGCGAUACGGGCAGACUUGAGUACUGCAGGGGAGACUGGAAUUCCUGGUGUAGCGGUGGAAUGCGCAGAUAUCAGGAGGAACACCGGUGGCGAAGGCGGGUCUCUGGGCAGUAACUGACGCUGAGGAGCGAAAGCGUGGGGAGCGAACAGGAUUAGAUACCCUGGUAGUCCACGCCGUAAACGCUGGGUACUAGACGUUGGGAGGCUUGGCCCUCUCGGUGCCGCAGCUAACGCAUUAAGUACCCCGCCUGGGGAGUACGG
rnacentral:rRNA from 1 species